rnacentral:rRNA from 1 species
AGGAUGAACGCUGGCGGCGUGCCUAACACAUGCAAGUCGAACGCGCUCCAUUCGGUAGCAAUACUGAUGAAGAGCGAGUGGCGAACGGGUGAGUAACACAUGAACAACCUGCCCCGAAGACUGGGACAACACCGGGAAACCGGUGCUAAUACCGGAUAUCCCUAUCGGACCGCAUGAUCCGAUAAGGAAAGUUUUUCGCUUCGGGAGGGGCUCGUGGCCUAUCAGCUAGUUGGUGAGGUAACGGCCCACCAAGGCAUCGACGGGUAGCUGGUCUGAGAGGACGAUCAGCCACACUGGGACUGAGACACGGCCCAGACUCCUACGGGAGGCAGCAGUGGGGAAUCUUGCGCAAUGGGCGAAAGCCUGACGCAGCAACGCCGCGUGGAGGACGAAGGCUUUCUGAGUUGUAAACUCCUUUCAGCAGGGACGAUAGUGACGGUACCUGCAGAAGAAGCACCGGCCAACUACGUGCCAGCACGCCGCGGUAAU